GGGAAUUUAGCUCAGUGGUAGAGCGCUUGCCUAGGAAGCGCAAGGCCCGCAAGGCCCUGGGUUCGGUCCCCAGAUCCG
rfam:Rattus norvegicus chromosome 14, whole genome shotgun sequence.